CAGGGGUGCAGUAUCGGGCAGAUGGCAGCCUGGGUCAGUUGCAUUUGCCUAUUAAACCACCCCGAGAUGU
rnacentral:snoRNA from 1 species